GUCGUGUUUGAUUCCAUGUGACCCCACGGACAGCAGCUCACUAGGCUCCUCUGUCCAUGGGAUUCUCCAGGCAAGAAUACUGGCAUGCUGCUGCUGUUGCUAAGUCGCCUCAGUCGUGUCCGACUCUGUUCGACCCCAUAGACAGAAGCCCACCAGGCUCCCCCGUCCCUGGGAUUCUCCAGAUAAUUGAUUGGAAUCUUUCCAUGAGCCUGGAAGUGGAUCAUGUCCUUCAAGGAAGGCCUGAAAUGAUCACAGCUCGGACUGAUGUCUGGACCACUCCCUGUGAGACAGCCUGAGCCUCAGGGACCCAGUGAGGUCAGGCGCUGACUCAUGACUCACAGACACUGUAAGGAAAGGAACGGUCAUUGUUUGCAGUCAUUGGGCCUUAGGGGAAAUGCUCGCACAGUGAGAUGGCACCAACACAGCGUAAAUCAUCUUUGGUAGAAAGUCAUGCCUUCUCUUCAAUCUCUCUGUCAUGCCAGCAAAGAUUCAUCCCUUAUUUACGGAAUCGGCAAUGUCUCCACAGGGAAAACCCACCUACCUAAACUGUGAUUUGAGCGGCAAGGAAUCGGAGAGGUGGGGCAGGCGGAAGCUGAGUAUAGUCCUGCAACCCGGGAGAGGAAGUGAAGCCAUUUUCCUUUUCAAAGAAGUCAGUUCCACAGUGCACUACCUCCAAUCUUCCAUCUUCUCUGCCCUCCUCAGAUUUGCUUAAUACUUAUAUCUUCUUGUAUAUAGUGGACAUUUUGUUUCUCUUCUUGUUCUAUUUGAUUGUGUUGUUUUUUAUUUUUGGCUGCCAAGCUUUUCUUAUUUGGGGUCACCCUCCACUGUUUAGACAAACUCAUCUGUUCUAAGA
ensembl:lncRNA